GUCAACCACCCCCGCUUGUAGAAGCGGGGGCUUGUCCUGGCGGGGACAGGGGCAACUGGCUGACUAGGCGGCAACCUUACAGUUGCAGAAGUCCGAGGGGCUACCUAAUCACUUCCGGGUGUUUCGCCAGCCCGGACUAUGUG
rnacentral:sRNA from 17 species